CUAAAUGAAGCUGAGAAGCUCUCAUAAGACGCACACUUGCCAGUUCUUGACAGUUCCUCGGCAAGAUGGCCAAAUUUGCAGAAAAAUGCAAACACCAACGAAGUUUUAUGUAUUGCGGCAUGAUCUCAGCAAUGGUAGACGGUAUAAUACCUAUAUCGCCUUAUACCACCGUAGACGACAAAGCUCUAACUGCAAAAAAACUUAAGGUUCUUGGAACACCAGCUCGGGAGAUUAUUAAGGUGCAUCCCCUACUCUUUCUGUGUAAGAUACAGGCUAAGGCCAAGAAGAAAAUAGGAGCAAGGUUUUGAUUUAGUUCCCAGGAUUUUUAGUCCUUUUAUAUUUAGUUCUGAUUUUGUAAUGAUGUUUGUGUAAGAUUUGAUGAAAAUGUAGACAUGUUUGUGGUACUGAUGUAAGUACAGUUUAGUUUAUCAAUGAAAUAUAAGAUAAUUUUUUAUUUAAA